rnacentral:rRNA from 1 species
UACGUAGGUGGCAAGCGUUGUCCGGAUUUAUUGGGCGUAAAGCGCGCGCAGGCGGUCCUUUAAGUCUGAUGUGAAAUCUUGCGGCUCAACCGCAAGCGGUCAUUGGAAACUGGGGGACUUGAGUACAGAAGAGGAAAGCGGAAUUCCACGUGUAGCGGUGAAAUGCGUAGAGAUGUGGAGGAACACCAGUGGCGAAGGCGGCUUUCUGGACCGACAUUGACGCUGAGGAGCGAAAGCCAGGGGAGCAAACGGG